CCAAUAGCGUAUAUUAAAGUUGUUGCAGUUAAAAAGCUCGUAGUUGAACUUCGGGGUUUACUCAUUGGUCAGGCUUAAUUGUUUGUACUGGUGAGAUGAAUCUCUACCUUCUGAGGAACUUUCAUGCCAUUUAUUUAGUGUGAUUGGAAAUCAGGACUGUUACUUUGAAAAAAUUAGAGUGUUUAAAGCAGGCUAACGUCUGAAUACAUUAGCAUGGAAUAAUGAAAUAGGACGGCUUGAUUCUAUUUCGUUGGUUUCUAGGAUCACCGUAAUGAUUAAUAGGGAUAGUUGGGGGCAUUAGUAUUCAAUUGUCAGAGGUGAAAUUCUUGGAUUUAUUGAAGACUAACUACUGCGAAAGCAUUUGCCAAGGAUGUUUUCAUUAAUCAAGAACGAAAGUUAGGGGAUCGAAGACGAUCAGAUACCGUCGUAGUCUUAACCAUAAACUAUGCCGACUAGGGAUCGGAUGAUGUUAAUUUUUUAAUGACUCAUUCGGCGCCUUACG
rnacentral:rRNA from 1 species